GACGAACGCUGGCGGCGUGCUUAACACAUGCAAGUCGAACGGAAAGGCCCUGCUUUUGUGGGGUGCUCGAGUGGCGAACGGGUGAGUAACACGUGAGUAACCUGCCCUUGACUUUGGGAUAACUUCAGGAAACUGGGGCUAAUACCGGAUAGGAGCUCCUGCUGCAUGGUGGGGGUUGGAAAGUUUCGGCGGUUGGGGAUGGACUCGCGGCUUAUCAGCUUGUUGGUGGGGUAGUGGCUUACCAAGGCUUUGACGGGUAGCCGGCCUGAGAGGGUGACCGGCCACACUGGGACUGAGAUACGGCCCAGACUCCUACGGGAGGCAGCAGUGGGGAAUAUUGCACAAUGGGCGGAAGCCUGAUGCAGCAACGCCGCGUGCGGGAUGACGGCCUUCGGGUUGUAAGCCGCUUUCGCCUGUGACGAAGCGUGAGUGACGGUAAUGGGUAAAGAAGCACCGGCUAACUACGUG
rnacentral:rRNA from 1 species